AUGGAUUUACCUAUCAGAGCCAGAAGUUGCUCGCUCUGCCCGCCCAAGAAGGUCCGGCUUUCCCUUCUGUCCCACCUUCUUUGUGACGUCAUAGAACCAUCGCCUUGCUUAGCCCGACCCCGCCUCUUUUAUUUAAAUACGGCGCUCAACAUGGCGGUGCCUACUUGGUCCGUCGGCCGCUGUGUUUUCGAGCGCAGGCCAUGGAAAAGACUGUUUCUUCAAGAGCCGCGCUGUUUGGCUAACUACAGCUGCGUUUUAAUCCCUGAACCCCUUUCAGCGCGAAGUGCGUGUCGGUUAUCGCCUGAAAACCAGCUGACCUUUAACGACCCUCACCACCUCUGCUCCGGAAGUGCUUGCUGGUCCCAGGGGCAAGGCUGGGGGCUUGGCGACUAGCAUGCAGUCAGUAUUUGCUUUGGAACUUGGAAGUUAAGUCAAUACCAUUGUGGUCUGAGUAUAUGGUACUGUACCUGUGCCUUAAAAACAUUUCUUAUGUAAUUAACUUGCUGAUUUUUGUUUUCUUAUUUUACUUAUUUAGUCUUGAACUGCUUUAUUUGCUUAGCUAAUUAUAAUUAUUAAGCAUCUGCUAUGCUUGUUCAGAGCGUGCAUGGUUGACAGGAAUCAAGCCCUCAUCAGGGACACAGAGUCCAGUGAGCUGACAGACAUAAUGAGUAAUGAUAGAAGUAUUAUCAUGAGCUAUUGUAAAGCCGUACCUGGAUGUUUUUUGGAUGUGCGCACUGAGCUGGACAGUAGGUAACCAUUAGCUGGGAGGCACGUAAUAGUACCCACCACUUACUUACAGAGUGUUGUACCCUAAUGGUUGUAUUUUCUGGGCUAGGUUCCCUUCCACAAGAUUUUAUAUUAUAUAACAAUUCCCUCCUUAUCUCUGGUUUCUCUUCCACAGUACAGUUGCCUGAGGUCAGUGGUGCUGUGAAAACGUUGGGAACUUCUAAUAAGCAGUUCAUAUAUUUCAAAUUCCUUGUUUUGCCAAGUAGCAUGAUGAAAUCUCAUGACAUUCUGCAUUCUCCCACUCAUGUGUGAAAUCACCCUUUUGUCUGGAAUAUUUAUCCCCAAUUCCCAUCUGUAGUUAUUUGGAAUCCUCUCAGUUAUCAGAUGGACUGAUGGUUUUGCAGUUCUUGUGUUCAGGUAUUCCCUGUUUUAUUUGAUGAAUCACACCAAAGAUAAACCGUAAAAGGACAGAUAACUCUCCUUGUGUGUGGUCAUGCUCCAGGGCUGCUAGAAAAAACCAUAGUGCAGUAGUUCCUUGAUCCCUGAACUUACUUUGUUCUACAAUGUUUAAAAAGAUGGCCAAUCUGUGUUUGUGCGGGAAAGAUGGCCAUGGUUGUGUUUGUCACUCGAUAUUGUGUUUGCAAACAGAAAGAAAAUUUUGCCGAACACUUUUGUUUGCAAACCUGUUGUUGGCAAACAAAAGCAUUCGUGAAAGGAGAUGCCACUGUGUAUAUGCAGUUCAGUACUGUCCAUGGCCAUCCACUGGAAUUCUUAGAACCUGUUUCCCAUGACAGAGGAGAACUGCUAUAUUCCUGUAGGCAACUAGAAAGUACAUGUAUCAGGGAUGCUUUCCCACACCUCUCCUCCAAGCAUAAGACUUUGUGUCAGAAUUUUUGAGUCUAAAGCUUUCCUUCUAGUUGGAUUUCCAUAUUGUGAAAUUGCAUUUUUGGUCUUUACACCUUAACCUGCAUUCAUACUUCCGCUGGGCAUGCCAGCAUGGCCUGUUAGCCCCCAUAUCCUUCCUCCUACUUGUUAACUCUUUCCCUCUGUCGCUUCCUCCUGCAAUCUUGGGUACUGACCCUGGUGAACCAGACGGCUUGGAUGUUCCCCUUUAAUUUCGAAGGAAUGUGGCCACAGUGUUGGAGUACAUAGUGCUGGCCUUUCCGUGGCAUACUGAGGUAUGAACUCAUAUUCUUGUAUGCUGUGGUCCUAAGUUAAGCAUCAUCUUGGCUUGGAAUCACCAUGGAGAAAAGAACGUUUGUAGUCAUGGGGUAGAAUUCUACUUCUAAAGCUAGAGGGGGAGGGGGGUAGAGAGGGAGAGAGAAAGAGGAGACAGAGGGAGACCAAGUCCCUUGCCACCAUGAGUUGGCCGUUAGUGAGAGCUGCCACACAGAGGAGCCAUCCUGAAAAGAAUAAGACAACACAGCGGGAUUGAGAUCUGGGAGUGGGGAGGACACAAAGAACAGGCCCAGGUGUCAUGGUGGCCAUUGAGUCUGAGGAUGCAUAUAUACAUUGAGCUGCAAAGCAGACCUGGCCGAGAUUUGUUUUUUUCUGAAUUUUUUAUUGUUGUAUUAGAAUUCCUUAAUUAUAGCCCUUGCAAUGGAUGCUUUAGAUGAGAUAGAGCAGUUAAGCUUUCAAAGUUUCAUAGUUAAAACCAUGGAUUUUAAAUACACAAUAGGUUCAGAUUCUUGGUGGUGAGAAUGGGGGACAGUUACAAAAUAUAUUACAGACCCUUCAAUUUUUAAAAAUUUUCCAGUUACAGAAAAUCUGUGUUCUCUGUCCUAUGUAGUUAGUUUGAAAACACUGUACUGUUCUAAGGACUGUUUCUUGUCCACCUUGGGGACAGAAAUCAGAGUACUGCUGUCUUUUGGUUUUCUCCCAGUGGAGAUGGAAAUAAUAAUACCAAUGUCAAAUACAUAAUACUAUUGGGUGUUAGACAAAUGGACAGGCCUUUAGUGCCUUCUGCUUCAUCCAGUGUGCCAAAGUAUUCUGUCUUAACCCAGCGUACCCAAUCCAAUCAUUAUUUGUAUUCUUAUUAAAUAUAUCCUAGCUGCUAAAUAAAACAUUAUUUAAUUAAUAGAAUAUUAAUUAUUUAAUCAUCAGUUCAGAGAAAACAAAAUUAGGAAUUUGUCUCUUGGUAUCAAUGGGAGAUCGAUUCCAGAGCACCUGUGAGUGUCAAAGUCCAAUAUAGUAGGUCAGUUGACAGAGUAGAGUCUUAGUAUCUGUGUGUC
ensembl:lincRNA